AAGAUUGUACUAUAGAACCUUUUUCUGGAAACUUUUUUUGAAGGAUUCUAAAAAGUUGACUUUCGAAAUGGUACAAAGAAGGGCUUUUUAGGGUGUUAAUGAGUUAACUUGUUUGUUAUCACUAUUAUUAUUAUUAAUAUUAAAUGAAAAUGAGGAAUUGAUAUUUAGUUGGAAGUAAACACAUUAAUGGAGAAAAAUGAAGAUUAGAUACAAUUCCGGGAAAUACCAGUCGUCAAAUGAUCCUUUUUCUUGUACUAGUGAGCUGAAAAAUGUUUAAUCGAAAAAAACAAUUGGUCCAUAAGAAACUGGUCCAAUGAAUGGAUCAGUGGAAUGACGAAUAAUUUAUAAAUCCAUGAAUUGUUUAAUAGAUUCGAAUCUCAAAAAAAAUCUUUGACACGUCGACCAUUCGUUAGACGACUUGGACAAAAAAUUUCAGACCGUAACCAAAAAGUGAAGAUGGAACAAUCAUUCUGAAUAUCAGUCAGUUCGUUAGAAGUGAUAAGGGUUUCACGUAUUCCUCAGUGUUCUUGCUUGAUAAGAUAACUAGGAUCAAUACUUACACAGACCUCAAUAGAUCAAAUAGAAACUAUGAGGACUUAAUUCAAAUUUCGUGGUUUGUCGUAAUGAAUCUAUUCAUUUGAAAAAAUAUCAUCACAAUGUAGGGGGAUAUGAUCGAGUUAUCUCGCUGCUGAGUUUCGAUGGAUGUGUUGAGAGUCUCCGUACCAGUGCUAUCUCCCCUGUCUUGAUAAAUCGGUCGUAAUCAGUUCAAAAGGAGAAUUGUUUCUCGGACAUUAAUGCUUUGAAGUGGUUUAUUUUGUCAUGGACAUCUAUAUCUCAGCAAACAUUGGACCGAGAUACCGUUUAUAAAGAUUAUUGUUGUAUUCUUCAUCGCUUAGUUCAAUUACGGAUAAAUUUCGACCCCUUAAUUAUCCGAAAUUUUCUGAUUUCAUUCUAUCAAUAGUCAAUUACCAAAUUAAUCGAAAUUCAUACAAUUUUAUUUCAUCGAUAAGGCCAAAGCCUUUUUAUCUUUUCCUUUUAAGAUAACUUUCUUGAAAAUAAUAUGCUGUCGAAAUUAAUCUCUCGAUAGAAUCUUAUCUCCCAGCGCUGAUAUCAAAACUCCUCAAAGUCAUCACAGUCUCGAGAGAAAAAUUCGUUCGAGAGAGUAUAAUUUUUGUCUGACUAGGCCUUCCCCGAAAAACUUCGGUUUACCGAUUCUUCGUCUUAUCACUCAAUAAGAUAACACUGGAAUGAAAUCCAGUUACCAAUUAGGAGGGUGAGGUGAAUUCUCCAGGAGUGAAAUGGACCUUUGCACCCCGGGACUGCUUCAAUUCUCCGAAAUAUCAAUUGAAUUCAUCAAUAAAAUCUCGUUGAAAUGAUUGAAGUUGACACGUUGUAUCUGUGUAUCUCAAGCGUGUCGUUAUCGUUAUCAGGGUGGGGCUCGGAUAUCGAUGAGGGACCUAGACGGGGUUUUCCUAUCAGUUACCGUGGGUAUAUAUGGGCCCCCUGGCGUUGUCACCUGGGCCUAGUCAUUUCACUUUUUAUAUUAACGUGUCGAACACUUCGGUCACUCGUGAUAUAUCUCAACGAUGGGGAAAAAAAUUGAUUUCUGUGAUUGUGAAAGUUUCCAAGUGGUGUUUUUCGUCGGUCACUUCGUCUGCCAAUUCGUCCAGGAGACACUCAGUUGGAGCUUAGGGUCGUCCUGAAUUUUUCGUCGAUGAGAUCUUCAUUUUUUCUGUGGAAGUAAUCCUCGGUUGUUUCAUUCAUCUCUUGAAUUUUUUGGAUUAUUGUUUUGGCUUUGUUCGAGGUGUCGCGGUUCAAGUGGAGAAGUGGUCUCUGCGCUUGGCAUUAAAAGUGAGAUUCAACUCCUCCAACUUAUUCCGGGCACCUGGUCUCUUCAUUUUUCUCCAUUAUAAUCAAUAAAAAUCUCCUAUAUUUUAUCUUUUAACAACUCAUCAAAUAUUGUAUACAAGCGUACUGACACAAAUUCCUCAUUUAUAUUUAAUAAUAAUUAAUCGAAUAAAUAGUCAUGUACAGUAGAGAA